rnacentral:rRNA from 1 species
UAGGGAAUUUUCCACAAUGGGCGAAAGCCUGAUGGAGCAACGCCGCGUGCAGGAUGAAGGCCUUCGGGUUGUAAACUGCUUUUAUGUGUGAUGAUUAUGACAGUAGCAUAUGAAUAAGGAUCGGCUAACUCCGUGCCAGCAGCCGCGGUCAUACGGAGGAUCCAAGCGUUAUCCGGAAUUACUGGGCGUAAAGAGUUGCGUAGGUGGCAGAGUAAGCAAAUAGUGAAAUCGUACGGCUCAACCGUAUACACAUUAUUUGAACUGCUCAGCUAGAGGACAAGAGAGGUAGAUGGAAUUCCCAGUGUAGGAGUGAAAUCCGUAGAUAUUGGGAGGAACACCGAUGGCGUAAGCAGUCUACUGGCUUGUUCCUGACACUCAGGCACGAAAGCGUGGGGAGCGAACGGGAUUAGAUACCCCCGUAGUCC